rnacentral:rRNA from 1 species
UAGGGAAUCUUCCGCAAUGGGCGAAAGCUUGACGGAGCAACGCCGCGUGAGUGAUGAAGGUCUUCGGAUCGUAAAACUCUGUUAUUAGGGAAGAACAAAUGUGUAAGUAACUAUGCACGUCUUGACGGUACCUAAUCAGAAAGCCACGGCUAACUACGUGCCAGCAGCCGCGGUAAUACGUAGGUGGCAAGCGUUAUCCGGAAUUAUUGGGCGUAAAGCGCGCGUAGGCGGUUUUUUAAGUCUGAUGUGAAAGCCCACGGCUCAACCGUGGAGGGUCAUUGGAAACUGGAAAACUUGAGUGCAGAAGAGGAAAGUGGAUUUCCAUGUGUAGCGGUGAAAUGCGCAGAGAUAUGGAGGAACACCAGUGGCGAAGGCGACUUUCUGGUCUGUAACUGACGCUGAUGUGCGAAAGCGUGGGGAUCAAACAGG